rnacentral:rRNA from 1 species
GACGAACGCUGGCGGCGUGCCUAAUACAUGCAAGUAGAACGCUGAAGGAGGAGCUUGCUCUUCUGGAUGAGUUGCGAACGGGUGAGUAACGCGUAGGUAACCUGCCUGGUAGCGGGGGAUAACUAUUGGAAACGAUAGCUAGUACCGCAUAAGAGUAGAUGUUGCAUGACAUUUACUUAAAAGGUGCAAUUGCAUCACUACCAGAUGGACCUGCGUUGUAUUAGCUAGUUGGUGGGGCAACGGCUUACCAAGGCGACGAUACAUAGCCGACCUGAGAGGGGGAUCGGCCACACUGGGACUGAGACACGGCUCAGACUCCUACGGGAGGCAGCAGUAGGGAAUCUUCGGCAAUGGACGGAAGUCUGACCGAGCAACGCCGCGUGAGUGAAGAAGGUUUUCGGAUCGUAAAGCUCUGUUGUAAGAGAAGAACGAGUGUGAGAGUGGAAAGUUCACACUGUGACGGUAUCUUACCAGAAAGGGACGGCUAACUACGUG